rnacentral:rRNA from 1 species
GAUGGGCCUGCGGCCUAUCAGGUAGUUGGUGAGGUAACGGCCCACCAAGCCAAAGACGGGUAGCCGGGCUGAGAGGUUGAACGGCCACACUGGAACUGAGAUACGGUCCAGACUCCUACGGGAGGCAGCAGUGGGGAAUCUUGCACAAUGGGCGAAAGCCUGAUGCAGCGACGCCGCGUGGAGGAUGAAGGCCUUCGGGUUGUAAACUCCUUUUGCAGGGGAAGAUAAUGACGGUACCCUGCGAAUAAGCCACGGCUAACUCUGUGCCAGCAGCCGCGGUAAGACAGAGGUGGCAAGCGUUGUUCGGAAUUACUGGGCUUAAAGGGCGAGUAGGCGGUGGAGCAAGUCUGAGGUGGAAUCCUAUGGCUUAACCAUAGAACUGCCUUAGAAACUGUUUUACUUGGGUCAGUGAGGGGAGGGCGGAAUUCCUGGUGUAGCGGUGAAAUGCGUAGAUAUCAGGAGGAAGGCCUGUGGCGAAAGCGGCCCUCUGGCACUGUACUGACGCUGAGGCGCGAAAGCGUGGGUAGCAAACAGGAUUAGAU